UACGUAGGGUGCAAGCGUUAAUCGGAAUUACUGGGCGUAAAGCGUGCGCAGGCGGUUUUGUAAGUCUGUCGUGAAAGCCCCGGGCUCAACCUGGGAAUUGCGAUGGAGACUGCAAGGCUUGAAUCUGGCAGAGGGGGGUAGAAUUCCACGUGUAGCAGUGAAAUGCGUAGAGAUGUGGAGGAACACCGAUGGCGAAGGCAGCCCCCUGGGUCAAGAUUGACGCUCAUGCACGAAAGCGAGGGGAGCAAACAGG
rnacentral:rRNA from 1 species